rnacentral:rRNA from 1 species
UACGUAGGGGGCAAGCGUUGUCCGGAUUUACUGGGCGUAAAGGGCGCGUAGGCGGGGAGGUAAGUCGGGUGUGAAAUCCCUCGGCCCAACCGAGGAACUGCGCCCGAGACUGCUUCUCUUGAGUCCCGGAGAGGAAGGUGGAAUUCCCGGUGUAGCGGUGAAAUGUGUAGAGAUCGGGAGGAACACCGGUGGCGAAGGCGGCCUUCUGGACGGUGACUGACGGUGAGGCGCGAAAGCGUGGGGAGCAAACGGG